GACGAACGCUGGCGGCGUGCUUAACACAUGCAAGUCGAACGGAAAGGCCUCUUUCGGGGGGUACUCGAGUGGCGAACGGGUGAGUAACACGUGAGUAACCUGCCCUUGACUUUGGGAUAACUUCAGGAAACUGGGGCUAAUACCGGAUAGGAGCUCCUGCUGCAUGGUGGGGGUUGGAAAGUUUCGGCGGUUGGGGGUGGACUCGCGGCUUAUCAGCUUGUUGGUGGGGUAGUGGCUUACCAAGGCUUUGACGGGUAGCCGGCCUGAGAGGGUGACCGGCCACAUUGGGACUGGGAUACGGCCCAGACUCCUACGGGAGGCAGCAGUGGGGAAUAUUGCACAAUGGGUGGAAGCCUGAUGCAGCAACGCCGUGUGCGGGAUGACGGCCUUCGGGUUGUAAACCGCUUUCGCUCAUGACGAAGCUUUGUGUGACGGUAGUGGGUAAAGAAGCACCGGCUAACUACGUG
rnacentral:rRNA from 1 species